GAACGCCCCUGUAUUCAGCCUUUAUCCUGAGCAGCCUGGGCCUCCCCGGCCUUUAUUCCCCAGCCCUCCCCAUCACAGUCUUCCUCCAGUUUCCACACAGGUCUGCAAUGGAGCUGAUGGCCAUGAAAUGAGAGGCACAAAGGAAGGGAAGACAGGACGCUCUGUCUCUAACCAGGAAAGACUCCUGCUUGUGGGAAAAAGAAAAGAAACCAAAACUGGACCUAAUACCUUUAGAUCGCCUGCCAUCUAAUAUCCGGGUUAACUCCAGACUGGGCCCCUUUCCAGAGGCAAUGGAAAUGCUCCAGCAGGAUCUCACUUCCUCACUGCCCCAUCACCCAACCCGGUGGGGACAGAUGAUGCCCCAGAUUCCCAGCAGCCCCACCCCUGCAUGGCUGAGGAAAUGCUUCCACCACCUGAGCUUCUACCUGCCCAUCCAGACUGGCUCUCUGCCCUUAGGCCCUCAGUCUCCGCAUCCUGCCUUCCUGGUCUCCCAGUAGGAGACCUCUGCAGGUACUGUCACCUGGAGAACCCAGAAUCUGGAAGGGACCACAGGGGGACUCCAAGCAGAGCUCUGCCCAUGGAGCCCACACUGGCUGCCAUGUCCCUUCAGCCCAGCUCACAGAAAUACAUCCUAAGGAAGAGAUGCCACAUCUACUAUACACAGAGGUCUCUGAAGCCACACGUUCAUAUUGUUUCAACAAGCAUUGAACAACUAAUAUUUGCUGGCACUGAGGAAAAAUAUUAGGUACAAGGAGCUCCUUGAAGGCAGGGAGAAAAGACAGACUCUCAUACACAAGUUCAGUUAGAUAACAAGCAGUGAGCAGGCAACUGGGACUAAAUGCUACCAUCUUCUGUAUUGAUAGAGGGAUCACUGUAUUAUAGCACCACACUCGGAUGUCAGAAACAUCUUGGCCAGACACAGCAUUAAUACAGGAGGCAUGAAGCUGACUCCCUACUCAUCACUGCAAUACAAAGUCAAAAAGCCUCUAUAGCUCUCCCAGAACAUGGAUCAGAUUGUUAUGGGAGGUGAGAGAAGAACGAUGUGAUAUUUAAUCUGUUCUCUAAACAUACACAAAGAGACAAGAGGUGAAAGGGCUUGGAUGGUUCACUGAGGGAGUGGUCCCAAACUCCAGAGUAGUUCAGGCUGGGUGGAGCAGUGGGAACAUAGAAGAAGAGAGUUGAAAAUAAAGUGAGAAAGUUCAAUUAGGACUUUCUCCAAAUCACAAUGGACCCCCGGGCAGACAGAAAAGUUCAAAUUUUAUUCUGUAAACCAUAGGAAGCCAUUGAAUGUUCAUUAAGGGGGGAUUCCAUCAGAACUGCGAUUCAGAAGGAGCCUCCACUGGCUAUGUGGAGAGCAGACUAGGAGCUAGAAGAGUGGCCAGGAGAUGAAAGCAAUGCACCAGGGAAGCGGAUGAUGGCCUGAACGAGGGCAGUGGUGAUGGGAUGCACAGGAGGUAUAUGUCAGAACUCAUACAGAGAAAGAAUCCAAACAGCUUGGUGGGUGGCUGAACAUUCUGGGUAAUGAUCAAAGAUGCCUGAAGUGUUGGGGAGGAUGACAAUGCCGCCUUCAGAAGGAGGAAGAACAGGUUUAAAAGGGAAGAAGAUUUCAGACUCAUGCCCUGGAUGGAUGAUCAAAGACCAAGCAGCAACCUCAGGGCUUGUCUAUGUGGGUUGGAGGGCCCUAGAAGAGCUUGUUGCACAGGAGGAGUGGUCUGGGGCCCAGGGAUACUGGGCUGCAGAAUCUCACAUGGGCACCAUGGAGGAACCAGCAGCCCAGAAACACUCCCCAAGGCCCUGUCUAGUGGCCCUGGGCCAAGCUGCGAGCUGCAGCCUCUGGGGCCUGUGAAGCCCUGAGUACCUCAUGGGGACUGUAAAUAUUUGCCUGAUUAAGAGCCCCAACCAGAGACUCAGCAACAGCUCCUCCAUACGCAGUAAUCGACACAUCUUCCGUGGAGGGCUUAGAGAGGGGAAGCCAUCUCAAGUGAUGGCACUUCACACUCAGCACUUGACAUUCCCAGGCACUCCACAGGCAUUAGCUAAUUAGUCCUUGAGUCUGUUUAGCCCCCAAAAGAACUCCCAGAGGUUCCAUUCAUGCCCCAUGUGCAGGGAGUUUCACACCCUUCUGAGUCAGGAUCCAGAGCAUUGGGGAGACAGCUUUGCAGAUAGCCACUCGCCCACUCACUCCCUUGCAGAGAAAUCAAGUGUCUGCAAGGGAGCCGGAAAGAAGAAGUUUUCACUGUGUCAUAUUCUUCCUGGGAAAGAGAUAGGAGACAGAGAAAGGGACAGGAGACCAGUAUCUACUCAAAUCCCUACUAGUAAUGCUCACUGCAGUUUAUUUUUCUCUGAGCAUUUUAAACAUCUUCCCAUUUAACCCUCAAAAUUAUCCUAUGAUAUACAAUGUGUUUUUUAGAUUGAGCUCUCCCAGGAGGAGUCACUGGGGCAAGGAUUCAGGUGUAAGCAAUUGAUCUGGGAUUUGACCCCAGGAAACACCAGUCAGGAGAGGGAAGAAAAGAAAAAGAAGGGAAAGAAGCCAAUAAAGUGUGUUUUGGAGCACUCCACUACUGCAGGCCUAUGAGGCUUCAUCACCCUGGGCCACUCUGGAGAUCUGCACAGCACACCUCAGUCACCCCACUGAGGGAUGAAGGAGCUGGGGGAUGUAUCCUCCAACUCCUGCCAGUCAUGGGUUGAAGGUUGCUCCCAGUUGGGAGAAUGGAUUAACUCCCCCCACAAUGCCUGGCCUGUGCCAUGUACACACAUACUCAAAACAACCUGAAAGCCCUUAGACAAAUAUCCACAGGUGCUUGUGUCAGAAGUCUCCAGGUUGGGUACACAGGAACGGUGAUUGCCAAGAGAUAUGGACAAAGCACCGAUAGCAUCUUUUACGAUACCACUAUUCCAUUUUAAUAGAUGAGAAACCUGACGUUCAGAGAUGGGACCGAAUUUGGCCAAGAUCACACAAGUACAAAGUGAUGAAACCUAAAUUUAGACCAAGCCAGUUUGCCUCCACUUCUUGGUUCAUUUCGCUACGCACCACUAUCUUCCAGGCCUAGCUUCCCUCUUCUCCCUUCUUUCUCCUUAUCCCAGACACAAAGGACAGGGCUGUCUGCUAACAGUGUCUCCUCUCCCUGAACAUGCCUCUGAGAUGCCUGACUCUUUCCAGCAAGUGUCCUUGAGAUAAGGCUUGAUGACAGAUCUGUCUAUUGGUGAAGUCUGAACCAGGUGGAGCACCCUUUCCUCUGCCACGCUUACUGCUGCUUACCAAAUCCCCUUUUCUUUGACCCUUUAAUUCAUUUGAUAACUUUGAGAUGCACAGACCUGCAGGGCUUCAAAGAACAGUAAAUUUCCCAUCCCGAACACCACAGCCCUUGCUGCUGGGUUUGUGCUUUGUUUUUGCUUGCACAAGCCAGUGGUGAGCAUUUAUCGCUGGUUAGAGAAUUGAAUUUGGCAGGAGAGAUUUCUGUGCAUUUGGGGGAUUAAUUUGUCAAGCACCUUCGCCAGCAGAAAUGCUAAGGAUGGCAGCCAAGAGUAGGGUGGUGCAGGCAGUCUGGCAAACAUAGGCCAAACCCUCUUUUGUAGCUGGUUCUCUCUAGCCCUGAGAAGAAAUGCAACAUCACUCAGCUUUCACACCCCAGGAGCACGGCUUUCCCUUAGGCACACUGUCUUCUCCCCAAAUUAGCACUGUCUCAUCAGGGGCCAACCCAACAGGGAAGCCGGGGUUGAGAAGGUGGUGGGGUGGCCAGACAGAAUGAGGGGACCUGGGAACUAGGCAUGUUCCCCUGGGUGGAGCACAUACUUGGGGCCUGCCUAUCAAGAAUAGCAAAUUCACAGGUGUGACAGGAAGUGAGAGAAUGAGCCAGGAAUGAGCAUCAGGUGGGGUCGGCUACAGUAAGGAGCAAGAGAGUCCCCAGAGGUCUCAGAAAUGCAAAUAGGUAGAGAUCUGGCAAGCAGACUGGUGGGUAUAAUAGUCAUUGUCAUUCAAAGGUGUGCUAGAGACAGCUUAUACCACUUCUCUAGAGGCAAUUGUUAAAUUUUCAAAAAGUUUGCAAGCCAGUUGCUAAACACAGCCAUUAUUAAAAUGUAAAUCCUAUAAAUUUAGAGUUAAAUUGUAUUAAAAUCAAAAGUUAAAGGAUACUCAAAAUAUAUCACUAUGCUUUACUAUGAUCUAUAUUGUUAAGUUUACCUAGGAAUCCUGUGUCUGUGUGAUGGGAAUUCUGUACAAUGGUGACUGUCACAUAUACAUCUCUUCCCAACCCCAGGUCCAGCGUUGGAACAUUGGUAGCUUGAAAUUGACCAUAUUGGUAGGAUUUACACCAAGGAAAUUGGCAAACGCUAAAAAUUAGGACUGUUUUUGUGAAAGCCAGUGUUUAGUAGAAUUUACUGGCACACUACUAGCAAUUGCUACCCUGAAUCAAGGCACUAUCUACCCUGCAUCAUGCUAAAUGUCUCACAUUCGUUAUAUUACAAUGUAGGCAUCACACACCUGUAUGGCACGCCAGUCGUUAAAAUAUUGAAUUACUUUCACUUUGGUUGCUAAACAGCUGCUGUCCCAAGCCCCGGCAUGUCCUCCUUCCACCUUAGCCACCCCUGCCCUCCUCUGAUACCUCUAAAGGUUUGCGCCUAAUCCUGCUGUAAGACUGGAAGACUGGCCAGUGCUCACACAAUACAGGCUGUUCAUAUUUUUACCAUAAUCUCUACUUACAUUUAUCCUACAAGGUGGAUAUUAUUAUCAUCCCCUUUUUACUGAUGAGGAAACUGAGGCUCAGAGAGAAACCAACUUGUCUUGAGCCACACAGCUAGCAAAAUACAAGACCUGGGAUAGAGCCUAAGUUGACCUGGGUCCACCCAGUGUUCCUAACCAUUGGGACACACCAUUUCUCAGCAGCAUGGAGGUCUGGGGUCUGAUGGCAGGGCCUGGGCCCAUGAGGCCAGGGCAGUUCAAGAGGUCUCACAGCUGGGCCACUAGACACUGUAGGAGCUAAAGGGAUGGCUAGGGAGGGCCAGGAAUUAGAUACUCCUCCCCUUACUUCCCCUGUCUUGCCUCUCCCCUCCUCUUCCUUUCAUAUCAUCUCCUCCCCUCCCCUUCUGUGCCCAAUCUGAGUCCUUAAACGGCAAAGUGUAAAACACCAUAUCUGCCCUCAGGAAGCUUACAGUCUGAGCUAAGGAGAAACUGCCCAUACCUAUGAACAAUAUAAAU
rnacentral:lncRNA from 1 species